AUUGAACGCUGGCGGCAGGCCUAACACAUGCAAGUCGGACGAGUGGCGGAAGGGUGAGUAAUGUCUGGGAAACUGCCUGAUGGAAGGGGAUAACUACUGGAAACGGUAGCUAAUACCGCAUACCAUCGGAUGUGCCCAGAUGGGAUUAGCUAGUAGGUGGGUUAAUGGCUCACCUAGGCGAAGAUCCCUAGCUGGUCUGAGAGGAUGACCAGCCAAACUGGAACUGAGACACGGUCCAGACUCCUAAGGGAGGCAGCAGUGGGGAAUAUUGAACAAUGGGCGCAAGCCUGAUGCAGCUAUGCCGCGUGGAUGAAGAAGGCCUUCGGGUUGUAAAGUCCUUUCAGCGGGGAGGCGUUACCCGCAGAAGAAGCAACGGCUAACUCCGUGCCAGCAGCCGCGGUAAUAC
rnacentral:rRNA from 1 species